AAUAGAUACCCGGGUAGUCCUAGCCGUAAACGAUGAACACUAGGCGUAGUCGGUAUCGACCCCGGCUGUGCCGUAGCUAACGCAUUAAGUGUUCCGCCUGGGGAGUACGGCCGCAAGGCUAAAACUCAAAGGAAUUGACGGGGGCCCGCACAAGCAGCGGAGCGUGUGGUUUAAUUCGUCGCAACGCGAAGAACCUUACCAGGGCUUGACAUGUGGCGGAAAACGGCGGAAACGUCGUCCUCCCGCAAGGGACCGUCAUGCAGGUGUUGCAUGGCUGUCGUCGGCUCGUGUCGUGAGAUGUUGGGUUAAGUCCCGCAACGAGCGCAACCCCCGUGGCAUGUUGUAUCUCUCAUGCCAGACUGCCGAGAGAAACUCGGAGGAAGGUGGGGAUGACGCCAAGUCAGCAUGGCCCUUACGUCCUGGGCUACACACACGCUACAAUGGCCGGUACAACGGGUUGCCAAACCGCGAGGUGGAGCUAAUCCCUUAAAGCCGGUCUCAGUUCGGAUUGCAGGCUGCAACUCGCCUGCAUGAAGCCGGU
rnacentral:rRNA from 1 species